rnacentral:rRNA from 1 species
GAGUUUGAUCGUGGCUCAGAUUGAACGCUGGCGGCAUGCUUUACACAUGCAAGUCGAACGGGCUGGGGGCAACUCCAGUCAGUGGCGAACGGGUGAGUAAUGCAUCGGAACGUGUCCCAUAGUGGGGGAUAACCCAGCGAAAGCUGGGCUAAUACCGCAUAAGCCCUAUGGAGGAAAGUGGGGGACCGCAAGGCCUCACGCUUUGGGAGCGGCCGAUGUCCGAUUAGCUUGUUGGUGGGGUAAUGGCCUACCAAGGCGACGAUCGGUAGCUGGUCUGAGAGGAUGAUCAGCCACACUGGGACUGAGACACGGCCCAGACUCCUACGGGAGGCAGCAGUGGGGAAUUUUGGACAAUGGGGGCAACCCUGAUCCAGCCAUGCCGCGUGCGGGAAGAAGGCCUCGG